CUGAAAAAUGGACUGCUCAGUAAUACUCACUUUAUUUUAUGUGCACCGCAGAUAACUACGUUAAAGUGUAGAUAACAUGUGUACAGUAAGAGUGAGACCUAUCAGCUAGUUGUUAAGGUAAUGGCUUAACAAGGCAGUGACGGGUAACGGUAUUACUUUGUAAUAUUCCGGAGAAGGAGCCUGAGAGACGGCUACUAAGUCUAAGGAUUGCAGCAGGGGCGAAACUUGACCUAUGGAUUUUAUCUGAGGCAGUUAUGGGAAGUAAUAUA
rnacentral:rRNA from 1 species